rnacentral:rRNA from 1 species
UACGAAGGGUGCUAGCGUUGUUCGGAAUUACUGGGCGUAAAGCGCGCGUAGGCGGCUUUUCAAGUCAGAGGUGAAAUCCCUGGGCUCAACCCAGGAACUGCCUUUGAAACUGUAAAGCUAGAGUGUCGGAGGGGAUAGCGGAAUUCCUAAUGUAGAGGUGAAAUUCGUAGAUAUUAGGAGGAACACCGGUGGCGAAGGCGGCUAUCUGGACGACAACUGACGCUGAGGCGCGAAAGCACGGGGAUCAAACAGG